GCCCUUCAGCCCGCCGCUGCGCUAUGAGGGCGCCUUUCCCGGGCUGGCCGAGGCCGGAGCCGGCUCGCUCUGCUCGCGGGGCAGUGUGAAGGCAGGCGCAGACCGGAGCCGGGCUGCGCGGCGCUCGCGGGCCGGCGCGGGCUCCAGGUGAGCGCGGACUGGGAGAGCCCGGCACUCGGCACGGCCAGCCGGGCUCGAUCGGAGGCUGAAUCCCGUGCGUGGACCGCCCUUCCCUCUUCGCGGGAUCCUUGGCCACGAUAGCAGAUGCAUUUUGUAGGAGCAUUUUGAGGAUGAAUGUUUGCACAUCAUUUUGAAAUUGCCAAGUGCCACAUACAUGGAAUGCAUCCUGCGUUUAUCCUGGAGUUCACCUCUGUGGCUUGGAUUUAUCACAGUAGCGUUUGUCUUCUAUCUGUGUGUUAACUAGAAAUCCAGGAAAGACAUGAGGAGAUUUGUUUACUGCAAAGUGGUUCUAGCCACUUCACUGAUGUGGGUUCUUGUUGAUGUCUUCUUACUCCUGUACUUCAGUGAAUGUAACAAAUGUGAUGACAAGAAGGAGAGAUCCCUGUUGCCU